rnacentral:rRNA from 1 species
AGUGAACGCUGGCGGUAGGCCUAACACAUGCAAGUCGAACGGCAGCACAGUAAGAGCUUGCUCUUACGGGUGGCGAGUGGCGGACGGGUGAGGAAUACAUCGGAAUCUACUUUUUCGUGGGGGAUAACGUAGGGAAACUUACGCUAAUACCGCAUACGACCUACGGGUGAAAGCAGGGGAUCUUCGGACCUUGCGCGAUUGAAUGAGCCGAUGUCGGAUUAGCUAGUUGGCGGGGUAAAGGCCCACCAAGGCGACGAUCCGUAGCUGGUCUGAGAGGAUGAUCAGCCACACUGGAACUGAGACACGGUCCAGACUCCUACGGGAGGCAGCAGUGGGGAAUAUUGGACAAUGGGCGCAAGCCUGAUCCAGCCAUACCGCGUGGGUGAAGAAGGCCUUCGGGUUGUAAAGCCCUUUUGUUGGGAAAGAAAGGCAGCAGGUUAAUACCCCGCUGUUCUGACGGUACCCAAAGAAUAAGCACCAGCUAACUUCGUG